AUGGAAAGCCGUGAGUUUCUGGUUUUUUGUUUGUUUUUCCUUGUUUAUCUGGUUUUUUUUGUUUUUCCUUGUUUGUUUUGGUACUGGGGAUUCAUCUUGGGUCCUUGCGCUUGCGAGGCAGGCAGCGGAACCACUGUGCUAAAUUCCGGACCCGGGGUUUCUGUGUUCUUUUUUAAGGAGCUUUCUUCGUGCCCAGCCAGGGAGGAGGCCCAGAGUCGAUGCCUGGCAGGACCAAGGGACAGGCACCCCAAGCACAGAGGGCACACUUGGCAGGACACAGCAGGCUCCGAUGACCUGGGCCACAAAUGUCACCAGGACACCCCUCGCCACAGUAUCUCACUGGCUGGAAGUGGUGAAGUCUGAGGCAGCCACAAAAUUGGAGGAAACAGGCAGAAGGAAAGGUCUUUUGAGCCAUUCUUUGGGGCAAUGGUAUGAUGCAAAGCUACUUUUAAUUUGUUCCAUAUGAAUCAUGAAAACCAUGAGACAUUCGGGGGAUUUAUCAUAAAGCUAGAUGAGAUAAAUACUGUGUGCAUGCAGUAAAAAAAAAAAAUGGAAAAUAUGUAUUUAGUCCAAAAACUUCAUUUUAAAAAGGUUAACAUAAGGAAAUGAUUUCCUAAAGAGCCUCAAAGUCUGAGACAGGAAACUAACUCGGACGCAGACUAGACUGAGCAGUUGGGCUAUUUCCCUUGACUGGGACAGGGUUAAGGCGCCAGUUAUCUAAGCAGCAAGCUUAUUCCGGUCCUGCCGACCUUGCUUCCACUUUCUAGCUGUGCAACCUCGGGUGAGUUGCUGACCCUCUCUGGACUUUCAUUUCCGAUUCCACCAGAGCUAACUCCCAAAGCAAGUGGGAAGGACCGAGUGAGACAGCAGAGCCUGUUUGGUUGCUUUCAGUACUUUGGAAAAGUUUACUGUCAACCGAACUCCUUAAUGCCAUUUGGUCCUAUCACAAACUUCCUAGAUGCCGGAUGCCAAGACCCACAAAAAAGCAGUCAGAUGACAGACAAAAAAGCAGGGGCAGGUGACAGAGACGGGGAGGGAAAUACUUCUUGCUGUCACCCAUGACUCCCUGACACCCUCUCCCAGGACUCGGAAUUCAUAGUCCCGUCUUACCAUAGGGAACUGAGGCUCAUGGCAGCUGUGCUGGGGACAUAUAUUAUCCUCCUGAAUAAGUGAAGGCAGGAUUGGAACCUGACUCCUGAGCCCAGACCCUUGUGGCCCACAGGGGAGAUGGAAAAGACUGGCGGAGCUUGGGUGAGAGACACCCCUUGAGCUGAGAGGGAGGGGCUUAGGUGAGACACACCCCCUCAUCUGCAAGCAGGGGAGGGGACUGGGUGCGACAAGCCCCCGCUAUGGGGAAGGAGGGAAUUGAGUGGGAGACACCCCUAGGCAGGGAGAGGGACGGGUUUGGGUGAGACACGCCCUCUGGGCUGGAGAGGGAGGGGCUCCGGUAAGGUACGCCCCCUCAUCUGGGGAGGGCGGGGCUUACCUUGGAGACGCACUUGUCCCAUAGAAAGGUCUUGGGGACUGGAGGAGAAGGAGUCAGGGUCAGCAUUGUAAGCGUGGCUUGAGGAUUCCCAAGGCAAAGAGGAAGCAUCCAGGACACGGUAGGAAGAUCUGGACUGGGCUCAGCUCUGUCCAGGUAUGAAGAUGGGGCAUCUGGCAAGGUGACCAGUGGGGGGUGGCAUAUCAGGUCCUCCCUGGUGCUGGGGACAGGUAAGACCCAGAACACUGGCCUCAGGGUCCAUGGAAGAAGUCCAUGGCCCGAACAGGCAUUGCCUGUGACCAUGCCCAGCCCGACCAAGAAUAAGACGGCCCACGGUGUGCACCUGUAAUCACAAGAAUGGGAAGCUGAGGCAGGAGGAUCACAAGUUGGAGCUACAGCCUGAGCAAUUUAGAGACUUAGCAAGACUGUCUCUAAAAACUAAAAAAUAAGAACUGGGGUGUGAGCCACUGUGAAGGCCCUGGGUUCAACCCCUUAUACUGCAAAAAAUUAAAAAAGAGAACAAAAACGCAAGCCACAAGCCAAACAACACAGGAACAGCAAGUAGAGAC
rnacentral:lncRNA from 1 species